rnacentral:misc_RNA from 1 species
AACGCAAAUUGCACUCUCUUCGGAGAGUAUGCCUGUUUGAGGGUCAGUAUUAAUAAAAAUCGGCGUGUUGCUCUUUUGUGACGCUCCGGAGUUUGGGUCAUCUUAUAACGAUACCUUUUGAGGUGUUUUUAAGAGGCUUAAAAUUGACAUCUUUUUGCGCAUUUUUGACGUACAUAAAUUUUUUUAUUCGUUUAUUCUAAUGCCAAAAUCUAUUAGAUGUGACCAUGUCGUGUGGUUCCGUGUCUAUAAAUUUUUUCAUGAUUUGACCUCAAAUCAGGUAGGAACACCCGCUGAACUUAA